UACGUAGGGGGCAAGCGUUGUCCGGAUUUAUUGGGCGUAAAGAGCGUGUAGGCGGCCAGGUAGGUCUGGUGUGAAAACUCGAGGCUCAACCUCGAGAGGUCAUCGGAAACCAUCUGGCUAGAGUCCGGAAGAGGAGAGUGGAAUUCCCGGUGUAGCGGUGAAAUGCGCAGAUAUCGGGAAGAACACCUAUGGCGAAGGCAGCUCUCUGGGACGGUACUGACGCUGAGACGCGAAAGCGUGGGGGAGCGAACAGG
rnacentral:rRNA from 1 species